rnacentral:tmRNA from 1 species
GGGGGCGAUUCUGGAUUCGACGUGAACCCGCAAGCUAUUGGUGCAUGCCGAGGUAGCUGGGUAACCUCGUAAAUCCUCCCAGCGGGCAAAGAUACCUGCCGACAACGAAGAGUUCGCCGUAGCCGCAUAGCCGGCUGCCCCGCUUCCCGAGCUGCCCGUGGCAAGGGAUCAAGCGGGUCGACCUUCACGGGAUCGCGGUAGCGCCCCGCCCGGGGCCACCUACCGUUAAAGCCAAUCCGGGCUAACCGGUCACAUCCCCGUCACCCGGGACCGUGAUCGGGAAACCAAAGGGUGACUAAGCAUGUAGAUCCAAUAGUGGACGGUUCGCGGACGCGGGUUCGAGUCCCGCCGCCUCCACCA